rnacentral:rRNA from 1 species
UGUGAUCUCGUACCUUUUGUAGAAUGGGCCGGCGAGUUACGAUGAGAUGCGAGGUUAAGUGUCAAAGGCACGGAGCCGAAGCGAAAGCGAGUUUGAAUAGAGCGAAAAGUAUCUUGUCGUAGACCCGAAACCUGAUGACCUAACCAUGAGCAGGUUGAAGCAGAGGUAAAGCUCUGUGGAGGACCGAACACACGCCUGUUGAAAUAGUCGGUGAUGACUUGUGGUUAGCGGAGAAAUUCCAAACGAAUCGGGAUAUAGCUGGUUCUCCUCGAAAUAGCUUUAGGGCUAGCCUCACAUGAGAUCACCGCAGGUAGAGCACUGAAUGGCCUAGGGGGCUUCACGGCUUACCGAAGCUUAUCAAACUCCGAAUGGCGGAUGAUCGGUGUGUGGGAGUCAGACUGCGACAGACAAGUGCCGUAGUCAAAAGGGAAACAGCCCAGAUCCACAGCUAAGGUCCCAAAGUACAAGUUAAGUGGGAAAGGAUGUGAAAUUGCACAGACAACCGGGAUGUUGGCUCAGAAGCAGCCACACAUUAAAAGAGUGCGUAAUAGCUCACUGGUCGAGUGAAGUUGCGCGGAAAAUUACCGGGGCUAAACUAUACACCGAAAUUGCGAAUUUAUACGAAAGUAUAAGUGGUAGAGGAGCAUUCUAUAGUAGGACGAAGCAUGAUCGAAAGGACAUGUGGACGAGAUAGAAGAGAGAAUGCCGGAAUAAGUAGCGAGAGCAAAGUGAGAAUCUUUGCCGUCGAAAGUCUCAGGUUUCCUGGGGAAGGUUCGUCCGCCCAGGGUAAGUCGGGACCUAAGGUGAGGCCGAAAGGCGUAGCCGAUGGACAGCAGGUUGAAAUUCCUGCACUACAGAUAUAUUUAAAAAGCACAAGGGACGCAGUAGAGGAAGGUAUGCGAGGAAGAGGAAAAACUCGUAUCGAAAGAUAUAGUGAAAAUAAAAAGUAACGAAUUACCAAGAAUCACACUGACGAGAAAAGCUUGUGAGUAUUAUAUAUAUGUACCCGUACCGCAAACCGACACAGGUAGAUGAGGAGAGGAUCCUAAGACGAGCGGGAGAAGCAUUGUUAAGGAACUCGGCAAAUUGACCCCGUAACUUCGGGAGAAGGGGUGCCGGUGUAACAGCCGGCCGCAGAGAAGAGGCCCAAGCAACUGUUUAACAAAAACACAGGUUUCUGCUAAAUCGAAAGAUGAAGUAUAGGAGCUGACGCCUGCCCAGUGCUGGAAGGUCAAGGGGAAAAGUUAGCAGUAAUGUGAAGCAUAGAACCAAAGCCCCAGUGAACGGCGGCCGUAACUAUAACGGUCCUAAGGUAGCGAAAUUCCUUGUCAGGUAAGUUCUGACCCGCACGAAAGGCGUAAUGAUUUGGGCACUGUCUCGACAAUGUACCCGGCGAAAUUGUAGUACUAGUGAAGAUGCUAGUUACCUGCGACAAGACAGAAAGACCCCAUGGAGCUUUACUGUAGUUUGAUACUGGGUUUCGAUAAUUUAUGUACAGGAUAGGUAGGAGACUGAGAAAGAUAGGCGUCAGCUUAUCUGGAGUCGAUGUUGGGAUACUACCCUUAAGUUAUUGAAAUUCUAACCAUUAGUCAUAAUCUGGCUAGGGGACAAUGUCAGACGGGCAGUUUGACUGGGGCGGUCGCCUCCCAAAAUGUAACGGAGGCGCCCAAAGGUUUCCUCAGCGCGGACAGAAAUCGCGCGAAAGAGUGUAAAGGCAGAAGGAAGCUUAACUGAGAGACAGACAUGUCGACCAGAUACGAAAGUAGGGCUUAGUGAUCCGGCGGUAGUGAAUGGAAAUGCCGUCGCUCAACGGACAAAAGUUACCCUGGGGAUAACAGGCUUAUCUCCCCCAAGAGUUCACAUCGACGGGGAGGUUUGGCACCUCGAUGUCGGCUCAUCGCAUCCUGGGGCUGUAGUCGGUCCCAAGGGUUGGGCUGUUCGCCCAUUAAAGCGGUACGCGAGCUGGGUUCAGAACGUCGUGAGACAGUUCGGUCCUUAUCUGUCGCAGGCGCAGGAUAUUUGAAGGGAGCUGUCCUUAGUACGAGAGGACCAGGAUGGACAUACCGAUGGUGUAUCAGUUGUCACACCAGUGGCACGGCUGAGUAGCUAUGUAUGGAAGGGAUAAACGCUGAAAGCAUCUAAGUGUGAAGCCCACCCUAAGAUAAGAUAUCCCAUACCGAAAGGUAGUAAGAGACCAAGGAGACGACUUGGUAGAUAGGUUGGAGGUGUAAGUACAGUAAUGUAUUAAGCUAACCAAUACUAAUAACUCGAGGGCUUAACCAA